rnacentral:rRNA from 1 species
UCCUUAGAUGUCCGGGGCCGCACGCGCGCUACUCUGAAGGAAUCAGCGUGGCUUUCUCCCUGACCCGAAAGGGUUGGGAAACCCGUUGAAUCUCCUUCGUGAUAGGGAUUGGGGCUUGAAAUUGUUCCCCAUGAACGAGGAAUUCCCAGUAAGCGCGAGUCAUAAGCUCGCGUUGAUUACGUCCCUGCCCUUUGUACACACCGCCCGUCGCUACUACCGAUUGAACGGUUUAGUGAGGGCCUCGGAUUGGUCUCGGCCCGCUCUUUACCGGGCGGCGCCGUUGGUCGAGAAGACGCUCGAACUUGAUCGUUUAGAGGAAGUAAAAGUCGUAACA